rnacentral:lncRNA from 1 species
UUUGAUGUAGAUUACGAUGAUGUAUUUAGAAUUGCAAACGGAUGACUGUGGUGUGAGAAAUCUAGAUUUGAAGAUAAGAACAUAAACCCUAAGUGAGUCGAUUCGUUCGAUUUAGGAGCUUUUAGCCAAAAAUAAGUUGAUAUUCGUGAUCCUUAGGCUUAGACGGUUCUAACGGUUAUUUGUUUGCUCGUUUUGGUGAUGAUUUGAGAAACUCGUGUUCUUGGAUGUUCUUGAAUUUUCUGGACUGAAGAAGAUGAUAUUCAUGUGUUUGAUCUUGUUUUUCGUUCAAAUUUUUGAA